GAGCUCGCUUCGGCAGCACAUAUACUAAAAUUGUAACGACACAGAGAAGAUUAGCAUGGCCCCCGCGAAAGGACAACAUGCAAAUUCGUGAAGCAUUCCAUAUUAAA
ensembl:snRNA U6 U6 spliceosomal RNA